UGGAGGCUUGAGAAAGUUUGGAUGUUGUUGCAGUACUUCCAUAACUGGUUAUAACCUCCAAGACUAAAUCUUAAUCACUGCAUUUAUGUCUGAUUCUUCAUCUCAGAUUAUGCGCUGUGAUUAAGGACAUUUG